AUGUGGCCCGGUUUGCCCGAGCAGCAACUUGUUGUGAGAGCAGUGUGCUGCCGUGUUAAAAAAAAAAAAGAAAAGAAAAGAAAUAAAAAAACACGUCAUAGUGUAGUUCACUGAGCUGGAUCUGUUUUCAUCUGCGCUGAGAGUGCGCGACAAGUGCGCAAAUGCGCAGUUGUGCAGGUUAGAGGGAACAUUGAUCCGGACUAUCUGCAGCCAGAUGGGGGGCACAAGCCAGUGCAAUCUGUAGGCCCGUUCCAAGCACGGAUAAAUGCAGAAGCUAACACGAGUGGUUAUGGUACCCACCCAACUUUCUUGGGGCAAAAUAAGAGAGUAAAAGUGACCAGCAGUGCAACAGGUGGUUCACUGUCACCAUGAAGAACCCGAAGACAUUCAAAACCAAGACAUCUACCAUCAACCUCGAGCCAUCCACCAUCAAACAUGAGCCUCGCCCAUUCCUCCAUUCCUCCAAAGAGUUGGCCCAUGUAAGAACCAAGGUUCCAAAAAAAAGGGCUGAUGGUGCUUACUGAGAUAAGGGACACCGGGAGGCAUCAAGACCAUAGGUCAGCACAAGAAGAGGACAUCGACAUUGUACAGAUAAAAUAUCUGGCCGACUUUGUUGUACUUGAACAGAAGAAAUUCCAAAUGUUGAAAGGUUAAUGGGUAACCCUCAAGGAAAAUAUUAAACGGAUCCUGAAAAGAAAGUGUCUUGAGAAACCUUGAGGGGACCCUGAGUGAUGUAUGAAGUGCGGCGACGUCAUGCCUGAAAUAUGCGCCUGACAGAUGCGAUGGCUGUGGCAGGAAACAGGACGGGAGGAACCAAGAUGGACAGUAAAUAUGAGAGACACAUAGUUAAAGUUCACAUAUUGGAAUAUUAGAUUUUAAUUUGUUUGUAACAUAAUUUAAGAAAAAACGUAUUUGUUCUAAAUGUUAAAGGUAUUACUGUGGGCUGAAUAACCUAAUUGCUUGUAAUUCUCUGUAGUUUGAUUGAAAAACAGUCUGGU